GACUACGUACGACGAGCUAAUACCGGAUAAGAUAUCGAACCGCAUGGUUCGAUAGUGAAAGAUGGUUUUGCUAUCACUUAUAGAUGGACCCGCGCCGUAUUAGCUAGUUGGUGAGGUAACGGCUCACCAAGGCAACGAUACGUAGCCGACCUGAGAGGGUGAUCGGCCACACUGGAACUGAGACACGGUCCAGACUCCUACGGGAGGCAGCAGCC
rnacentral:rRNA from 1 species